UACGGGGGGGCAAGCGUUGUUCGGAAUUACUGGGCGUAAAGGGCUCGUAGGCGGCCAACUAAGUCAGACGUGAAAUCCCUCGGCUUAACCGGGGAACUGCGUCUGAUACUGGAUGGCUUGAGUUUGGGAGAGGGAUGCGGAAUUCCAGGUGUAGCGGUGAAAUGCGUAGAUAUUGGGAGGAACACCAGUGGCGAAGGCGACUUCCUGGCCUGUUCUUGACGCUGAGGCGCGAAAGCUAGGGUAGCAAACGGG
rnacentral:rRNA from 1 species